AGCCCAUCUAGUAACACAAUAACCUGACUUAGUGCCUGCUUAUCUGUUCUUCCUUUCUGCCUCCCUGAGUCAUGUUCUCCUGUCAGUCAGUGGGGUGGCCCUUGCUGUCUGCUGGGACAUUUCUCUUCUGGGAAGCCUUAGAGUCCCAUGCUGGGUGCUGAGCGAGCAAGGACAUGAUUUCCAGGAGCUACAGCCUAAUGAGAAGACAAAGCUGAUACUUCGCAGAGGAUUCCAUCCAUCUCCUCCUUCCCUGUGCCCCAACUCUGC
rnacentral:lncRNA from 1 species